rnacentral:lncRNA from 1 species
GCUAUUUCUCAGAGUAGGAGGAAUGCUCAUAAAAAUUGUAGGCGACAGAACCAAGCGAAAGCUAGCUGUAGCAAGAACUUUCUUGGAUCUCCAUAUUCCUUAUGGAUCACCUGUUCCUGUUUGCUUUGCAGAAAACAUGUUCCUCCAGCUGAAGUCACUGCUCCUGCUUUAAGAUACAUUGUCCCUGUCACAGUUUUGGAUCAUUCAUCAUUUUCAAAGAAAAGGAUAUACUUCAGGAACCAGUAUCUGACAAAACGAGGAGUCUUGCUGUCCUGUUCACUGAGUUCUCCAACUCAUCCCUGAAACCACGCCUCCUCUCAGCUUCAUGAGAAACUCACAGUACAGAGGCAGAGCACCACAUUCAGCUGAUGAGUAACAUUAAUCCCGCAACAUGGCUGCUCUGGCAAGGGAUCAUAUCCAGAGACUUUUUAGGACUAUAUGAUCCAGCUGGACUGCAGAAAACCUUUAAUAUACACCUUUAAUCCCUAACAAUGAAGGAAUGAAAAUAAAGAACAAAUAAAUGAACUUGGAAAGCUGUCUGCUGAUACUGAAAUUCAG